rnacentral:misc_RNA from 1 species
AAGUCGUAACAAGGUUUCCGUAGGUGAACCUGCGGAAGGAUAUAACACGUAUCCAACGUUAAACAACCCUGUGAACCUUCAUUCCUGCUCUCCUCGACCCCUAACAAAAGCAAUCCUUGGACCAAUUUGAUUCAAGGACCUAAGCAGAUAACCGAUUAAAACUCGGAGCAUCGAGUGCCCACACGGCCGAUGAACAAGUCUCUGGGCGCAAGCUCCCAAAUUAACUACCUCUAAGCCUUAGCGGCCGCCUCGUGCUGUCGAUGUCUGAAAGCUGAACAACUGUUAACAAUGGAUAUCUUGGUUCUC